GAGAGAGGGUUCACCCACUCUGCGGGGCCGCGGGAGCGCGUAGCCUGAGAGGUGUGAGCCCCAUCCGCCACACACAACAUGGCGGCGACAUACACCUGCGUCCCACUUCCGCUUCCGCUGCCGAGACACGUCACUUCCUCCCCGGUUGCCCUGGAGCCCUGUGGAAGCUAAGAAUGCGAGGAGUCUCUGCUCCUUUCCCCUUCCAGAUUUUUGCUUCAGCUGCGGCGCAGUCUGACCGAGCAGCUUCGAGGGUCUUCCGCCAGCGGCUUGUUGGUGAGAGGGGGACCGCAGGGACGGCCUUGUGGGUGCGGGAGGGUUGUCUGGGGGGCGAGGAGGGACGGAGCCGGGGAGGUGGCUGGGAGGCAGGUCAAGAAAGUGUAUGUGGAAAACCCAUCCCCGAACCCUUUAUUAUUGGAAGUGGCAGAUGCAAUACAGGGGCAGAGACGAUACUUAGCAGCUAGGACUUCAUCGCGGUAAAAUGUGUGUGUGGGGGGAGGGCCUCAACGGCCUGGAAACCGUUUUCUUCUCCUUUAAGGUUUAUUUAUUAAAUGGGCCCAGCCACCAGCUACACCUGCUGUCUGGUAACCUGUCCUCCUGUUUCCGAGGUCAUGUCCAGCAUGGGAAGGAUACUUAAUUGGUCUUCAUCGGUGGCAGGCACCAUUCUUCACACUUCUCACCCUUUAUUGAAAUGGCAGUGAAAACCCACCUGCGGAAAGCACUGUUAAGGGACCGAAAAGGUUACAGGAGACCAGAGCUAUUGACUCUUAUUAUUAUUAUUUAAUUUUUUUUAACAUUUAUUUAUUUUUGAGACAGAGAGCCAGAGCAUGAGCAGGGGAGGAGCAGAGAGAGAGGGAGACAUAGAAUUUGAAGCAGGCUCCAGGCUCUAAGCUGUCAGCGCAGAGCCCGAUGCGGAGCUCGAACUGACGAACGGGGAGAUCAUGACCUGAGCCAAAGUCCGACGCUCAACCGACUGAGCCACCCAGGCGCCCCUGACUUUUAUUUUUAAAAUGAAGAUCUCUUUGGGGCGCCUGGGUGGCUCAGUCGGUUAAGCGCCCGACUUCGGCUCAGGUCGUGAUCUCACGGUUCCUGAGUUCCAGCCCAGGGUCGGACUCUGUGCUGACAGCUCAGAGCCUGGGGCCUGCUUCGGAUUCUGUGCCUCCCUCUCUUUCUGCCCAUUGUCCGCUCACACUCCGUCUCUCUCUGUUUCUCAAAAAUAAACACACGUUGAAAAAAAAUUAAAAUAAAAUAAAAUGAAGAUCUCUUUUACUUGAAGAAACUGAAGGAUCUUGGCAUCCUAGGAUGUGCUGUGAGCUGGAAAACAGUAGAAUUUUUGCCGGGGACUGGAAGAAAGAUGGUCACCAAAUAAGUAUUCCCUGACUUGCAGACCGAGUGAGCACAGCCAGGAUCUUCUUCAGCAGGAACAGGCUGCAGUUCGCCACUCUUCAACCCAGUCCUCACCUCUCCACAUUCAGUUUUGCUUCGUUGCUUAGGCGGUUUCUGGCCUGAUCGGUUUUGGGUUUUGUUUUUGGCAGGUGCGGUGGAAUCCCCCAGGGAGCUGAGCAGUUCGUGGAAUCUUCUUACCGGUACAGCUUUCACUGUUGCUUGUGUUACAGUGUGAGGUAAAGGCGAGAAGACAUUUCUCGAGCGCCCUGCUUACCUGCAACUUGACUCCUGAAGGUCAAGAGAGGCAGGUUUGCCCAGUUGUUGUGCGCGGCAUAGGGAGGACGUUUCAUCUGACAACAGGAAUGUAGCUUUUAUGCUAAUAAAAUGCUUUUAAAAUUAGGGCG
rnacentral:lncRNA from 1 species